rnacentral:rRNA from 1 species
AUGGGAACGCGAAGAACCUUACCUAGACUUGACAUCUCCUGAAUAGUGUAGAGAUACAUGAAGCCCUUCGGGGCAGGAAGACAGGUGGUGCAUGGUUGUCGUCAGCUCGUGUCGUGAGAUGUUGGGUUAAGUCCCGCAACGAGCGCAACCCUCAUUACUAGUUGCUACCAUUAAGUUGAGCACUCUAGUGAGACUGCCCGGGUUAACCGGGAGGAAGGUGGGGAUGACGUCAAAUCAUCAUGCCCCUUAUGUCUAGGGCAACACACGUGCUACAAUGGUGAGUACAGAUAGAUGCGAUACCGCAAGGUGGAGCCAAACUCUAAAACUCAUCCCAGUUCGGAUUGUAGGCUGCAACUCGCCUACAUGAAGUUGGAGUUGCUAGUAAUCGCGAAUCAGAAUGUCGCGGUGAAUACGUUCCCGGGUCUUGUACACACCG